AAUGCAGUCGAGCGCACUCUUCGGAGUGAGCGGCGGACGGGUUAGUAACGCGUGGGAACGUGCCCUUCUCUAAGGAAUAGCCACUGGAAACGGUGAGUAAUACCUUAUACGCCCUUCGGGGGAAAGAUUUAUCGGAGAAGGAUCGGCCCGCGUUAGAUUAGAUAGUUGGUGGGGUAAUGGCCUACCAAGUCUACGAUCUAUAGCUGGUUUUAGAGGAUGAUCAGCAACACUGGGACUGAGACACGGCCCAGACUCCUACGGGAGGCAGCAGUGGGGAAUCUUGGACAAUGGGCGCAAGCCUGAUCCAGCCAUGCCGCGUGAGUGAUGAAGGCCUUAGGGUCGUAAAGCUCUUUCGCCAGAGAUGAUAAUGACAGUAUCUGGUAAAGAAACCCCGGCUAACUCCGUGCCAGCAGCCGCGGUAAUACGGAGGGGGUUAGCGUUGUUCGGAAUUACUGGGCGUAAAGCGCACGUAGGCGGAUCAGAAAGUAUAGGGUGAAAUCCCAGGGCUCAACCCUGGAACUGCCUUGUAAACUCCUGGUCUUGAGUUCGAGAGAGGUGAGUGGAAUUCCGAGUGUAGAGGUGAAAUUCGUAGAUAUUCGGAGGAACACCAGUGGCGAAGGCGGCUCACUGGCUCGAUACUGACGCUGAGGUGCGAAAGUGUGGGGAGCAAACAGGAUUAGAUACCCUGGUAGUCCACACCGUAAA
rnacentral:rRNA from 1 species